CCUAGAGGGAAGCGGGUCCGUUG
rnacentral:piRNA from 1 species